GUCAUUGCCUUUCAAGAUGAGGCAGAGAUCCUUGUCUUGCAAUGCCCAGUGUGCUAAGCUUUCUCACUUCCAGCAGUGGGGAAGGGUCAGAGAUUGUGUUGUUGUAUGCAUCCUCGGUGGCAUUAUUAACUGGAGCUUUUCAAACAGACGAAGUAUGUUACUGUGGCUAAAUUGUAAUGAAAGAAGAGAUGGCUGUUUGCCAAUAAAUGAUGCCAUAUGCAACAAAGUGCAGAGAUGGACUAUAGGCUUCCAGCGAGUUACCACUGCCAAGGAGGAUGCAAAGACAGGCAGUUUCCUGGCAUCCCCUGCUUUCUUGAAGACAAUGUACCAUAUCACCGUGGGGAAAAAAGAAAAGCAGAUUUCUCUGGACAGCAAUCAUCCUUCAGCUUCUAAGAAAGAACAGUCUCACUAGACAAGAUGACAAAGAAAAGUGGCCCCUUGGAUAAGCGACUCAUCACUUCUUCUGCCAUCACUUCUCACGUUAAUUCCAGUGACUACAGUACUACAAUGAAAAUGGAACAUAGGAGUUUUCGUAAGCAUCUACUGGAUCUACCACUUCUUCAGUCACCUUGUCAAGGACCAGUUACUGAUCCCACAUCACAACAGUGGAAUUUAUGAGAGGAGCAAAGAAAAUAACAAAUCCACAUCUUGAGGGAAAGAAGACAUUUGUCUGAAAGUCUGGCUUCAUUUUUGAGAUGGCAGCUGCUUGGAACUGUUGACAGAUUGAGAGUGUUGGAAAUUGUCCUGGGCCAGAUGGAUUAGUGAUCUAAGUUCAGGUGAAGUGGUCAAAGAUGCUUUAUAAAUGCCAUUUCCAACGUAGCUAUCACCACUACAUUGUGGUAUAGGUAACAGAGUUAUUU
rnacentral:lncRNA from 1 species